CAAAAAUGGGUUAGACCAUGUUUUUCUUCUUCCUGCGACUGCAGAGAUGAAGGGAAUGAAGGUUAGCUCAUGAAUGGUAUGGGGCUGGUGUUUUGGAGUAUACUGGGGGUGGCAGCAGGGGCAACUAUUUGGGAGUUAAAAGGUCCUGGCGCUGGAUAUAGAGAUGGAUUGUGGCAAAGGACUACUAUGAGAAAAUAGAAAAGGAGGCAAGCUGUAAUUGUGUUUAUCAAUCCUUUUGAAUUUUGAAACUUCAAUUUCCACAAAAGAGCUGAUGGAUGGAUGUCAAGAAAAAUGUCGCUGGGGACUUAUUCCUUGUUGGAGUAAUUAACACACUGUUUGACCUCUGGUAACUAAAACUGCAGAAGGCAAAACUGGAUAAGGAGACUACUGUAAUGAUUAUGCUAUUACAAGACGCUCGAUUGCUAACAUCAGACAUUUUUAUAAAAG
rnacentral:lncRNA from 10 species